CUUAGUGGCGGACGGGUGAGUAACGCGUGGGUAACCUGCCUUACACUGGGGGAUAACACUUAGAAAUAGGUGCUAAUACCGCAUAAGCGCACGAAGCCGCAUGGAUUUGUGUGAAAAACUCCGGUGGUGUAAGAUGGACCCGCGUCUGAUUAGCUUGUUGGCGGGGUAACGGCCCACCAAGGCGACGAUGUCUAGGGGUUCUGAGAGGAAGGUCCCCCACACUGGUACUGAGACACGGACCAGACUCCUACGGAAGGCAGCAG
rnacentral:rRNA from 1 species